UACGGAGGGUGCAAGCGUUAUCCGGAUUUACUGGGUUUAAAGGGUGCGUAGGUGGGCAGGUAAGUCAGCGGUGAAAUCUCCGAGCUUAACUCGGAAACUGCCAUUGAUACUAUCUGUCUUGAAUUAUCUGGAGGUGAGCGGAAUAUGUCAUGUAGCGGUGAAAUGCUUAGAUAUGACAUAGAACACCAAUUGCGAAGGCAGCUCACUACGGAUACAUUGACACUG
rnacentral:rRNA from 1 species